rnacentral:rRNA from 1 species
CUACGGGGUGCUGCAGUGGGGAAUAUUGGACAAUGGGGGAAACCCUGAUCCAGCAAUGCCGCGUGUGUGAAGAAGGCCUGCGGGUUGUAAAGCACUUUCGGUUGGGAGGACUGCUUCUAGCACUAAUAUUGUUGGAAGUUGACGUUACCUUCAGAAGAAGCACCGGCUACUCCGUGCCAGCAGCCGCGGUAAUACGGAGGGUGCAAGCGUUAAUCGGAAUUACUGGGCGUAAAGCGCGCGUAGGCGGCUAGAUCAGUCGGGUGUGAAAGCCCCGGGCUUAACCUGGGAACUGCAUCCGAUACUGUCUAGCUUGAGUACAGGAGAGGAGAGUGGAAUUCCACAUGUAGCGGUGAAAUGCGUAGAUAUGUGGAGGAACACCAAUGGCGAAGGCAGCUCUCUGGCCUGAUACUGACGCUGAGGUGCGAAAGCGUGGGGGGCAAACAGGAUUAGAUACCCGGGUAGUC